ACGAAAGUUAAACUCAGUGUCAAAUAAGAAAGUUGAAAUUUUUAAUGUCAAAUCAAUAAUUCUCAACUUAAUCAAUAUCAAAUAGGGAAUUUUCUCAAGAUAGAAUAGUUUGACAAUCAGAAGACUCAGACAUAUCAAAAACUAAUAUUUAUUAAAUCAACAACAUUUGAAAAUUAUGAUAGGUACUUUCAUUAAUUAUAGCAAAGUAAAUAUCUACUAUAGUUGUGGAGCUUGGUAUGAUAAACAAAAUCGACACAACUUGUAUGAGAAAAAAGAGAAAUUUUAUAAUGAUUGAAAAAAAUAGGAGCCAUCCAUCUAUUAAAUCAUAUGGUGGUGAAGAUAGGAAGUACCUAGGAUAAAGUACUUGGUACUUCCAAAAUAUGGAACCAAGUACUAAAAAGUAGGACCAAAUACUAAUUUAAUUUAGUUUCUGUAAAUACUUUCCAUAGAUCAACAUCUCGAAAAAAUUUCAAGGUAAAAGUACCUGAAAGUACCCAUUGUUACUUUACAAUCAUUGUAAAGGAGCUAAAAAAAAGCAAAAUUUGAAAUCACAAAAGUAAACUUUUAUACCCCAACUACUUUUUCCAAACUUUUAAUUUGGUUAUAUUUUACUAUUUGAUGAUACACGAGGUGUACAUGUUUGAUGGAGCCUUAGAGGUGGAUGGGCACCAACCGUGCUCCACUCGUCCCAUUUUUUUUCCUCGAGCAUGCCGGUAAGGCGUUGACCCGCACAAGACCCGGCAGGCCUAAUGGGUUGUGUUCCAUCAUGAGAAAAAUGGAGCACAUUACCGGCUCGUAGAAGGCGAGGUCAGGGUCAUCCACUCCCAACCAUGCCUGGCAUUCUGCCAAAUUGCCAAUAUAUAAGUGGAGCAAGAGGAGCAAGAGGCUGGCAGCAAAUCGUGCCCUUGCAUUUGUCUAUCGUGUUAGCAAGCACCAUCUCCCCUCUUGAACCCCUACUAGAAAACCUCACAUCCAUGUUGCCGAGGAUGUGGCAUGUUUGGACGAGGUCAUUGGUGGCCUGUAUCAUUGUUCUUGCGCUUGUGAUGAUCUGCAGUGGCGACAGCAGCGAUCGCCUCGGCUAUCCGGCACGGAACCCUGAUAGGCCUGCUUGCUGCCCACCUGGCCAAGGCGACCCCUAUAGCGGUCGACCGUAUGGAACUGGUCCUCCGAGACCCCACCCUCCGUACUUGCCGUACCCAAGGCCAUAAAUAUCCCGGUGGAGAAAUCAACAGUUGUUGUGCCAGCAUCAAGAGAUAUGACGACGCCGGACACGUCAGGAGCAGAUACUCAAUUACGUACGCCCGUGCAACUAAAGAGUAAAGACGUUAUAAGCUUACAAAUUAGUUAAUAGUAAAUUACGGCCUUUUUUUUCUUUCUCCCGAUUAGUAUGAGAUAACUCACAAUUAUAUUCAUUUCAAGCUUUGAAGCUUUCUGGUAUCAUUCAAGGUGGAAACUUAUGUAUGACAGAACGGGUUCUAGAUCUCUUGCUUUGGGGGAACUUCUUAAGCUUACUAGAGGCGAUUGAUUACCGAUGGCGGCGGGGCUUUAAUCACAUGCUACUCCUAAAAGAUAUACUACUCCAUCUAUCUUAA